rnacentral:rRNA from 1 species
CCUACGGGGGGCAGCAGUGGGGAAUAUUGGACAAUGGGCGAAAGCCUGAUCCAGCCAUGCCGCGUGUGUGAAGAAGGCCUUCGGGUUGUAAAGCACUUUCAGUGGGGAAGAAAGCCUUGGGGCUAAUACCCUCGAGGAAGGACAUCACCCACAGAAGAAGCACCGGCUAACUCCGUGCCAGCAGCCGCGGUAAUACGGAGGGUGCGAGCGUUAAUCGGAAUUACUGGGCGUAAAGCGCGCGUAGGCGGUCUGAUAAGCCGGUUGUGAAAGCCCCGGGCUCAACCUGGGAACGGCAUCCGGAACUGUCAUGCUAGAGUGCAGGAGAGGAAGGUAGAAUUCCCGGUGUAGCGGUGAAAUGCGUAGAGAUCGGGAGGAAUACCAGUGGCGAAGGCGGCCUUCUGGACGGACACUGACGCUGAGGUGCGAAAGCGUGGGUAGCAAACAGGAUUAGAUACCCCAGUAGUC